rnacentral:pre_miRNA from 1 species
GUGGAAGGGGCAUGCAGAGGAGCGGCCAUGGCCCGUGGGAGCUUUGCUUGCCUUGUCUAUCGAUCUCCUCUGCCUGCCUCUUCCAUU